rnacentral:rRNA from 1 species
UACGGAGGGUGCAAACGUUGCUCGGAAUCAUUGGGCGUAAAGCGCACGUAGGCGGUCCGCUAAGUCGGGUGUGAAAGCCCUCAGCUUAACUGAGGAAGUGCAUUCGAAACUGACGGGCUUGAGUACGGAAGAGGGUCUCGGAAUUCCCGGUGUAGAGGUGAAAUUCGUAGAUAUCGGGAGGAACACCAGUGGCGAAGGCGGAGACCUGGGCCGAUACUGACGCUGAGGUGCGAAAGCGUGGGGAGCAAACAGG